rnacentral:rRNA from 1 species
GAUGAACGCUGGCGGCGUGCCUAAUACAUGCAAGUCGAGCGAACGGACGAGAAGCUUGCUUCUCUGAUGUUAGCGGCGGACGGGUGAGUAACACGUGGAUAACCUACCUAUAAGACUGGGAUAACUUCGGGAAACCGGAGCUAAUACCGGAUAAUAUUUUGAACCGCAUGGUUCAAAAGUGAAAGACGGUCUUGCUGUCACUUAUAGAUGGAUCCGCGCUGCAUUAGCUAGUUGGUAAGGUAACGGCUUACCAAGGCAACGAUGCAUAGCCGACCUGAGAGGGUGAUCGGCCACACUGGAACUGAGACACGGUCCAGACCCCUACGGGAGGCAGCAGUAGGGAAUCUGCCGCAAUGGGCGAAAGCCUGACGGAGCGACGCCGCGUGAGUGAUGAAGGUCUUCGGAUCGUAAAACUCUGUUAUUAGGGAAGAACAUAUGUGUAAGUAACUGUGCACAUCUUGACGGUACCUAAUCAGAAAGCCACGGCUAACUACGUG